AUUGAACGCUGGCGGCGUGCUUAACACAUGCCAGUCGAACGCGAAAGGGGCCUCUGCCCUGAGUAAAGUGGUGCACGGGUGAGUAACGCGUGGAUAAUCUGCCCUUAUGAUCUGGAUAACAGUUGGAAACGGCUGCUAAUACCGGAUACGCUCAAGAUGAACUUUUUGAGGAAAGAUGGCCUCUGCUUGCAUGCCAGCGCGUAAGGAUGAGUCCGCGUCCCAUUAGCUUGUUGGCGGGGUAACGGCGUACCGAGGCGUUGACGGGUAGCCGGCUUGAGAGGGUGACCGGCCACAGUGGGACUGAGAGACGGCCCAGACUCCUACGGGAGGCAGCAGUGGGGAAUAUUGCACAAUGGGCGGAAGCCUGAUGCAGCAACGCCGCGUGCGGGAUGACGGCCUUCGGGUUGUAAACCGCUUUCGCCUGUGACGAAGCGUGAGUGACGGUAAUGGGUAAAGAAGCACCGGCUAACUACGUG
rnacentral:rRNA from 1 species